AUUGAACGCUGGCGGCAGGCCUAACACAUGCGAGUCGAGCGGAUGAAGGGAGCUUGCUCCUGGAUUCAGCGGCGGACGGGUGAGUAAUGCCUAGGAAUCUGCCUGGUAGUGGGGGAUAACGUCCGGAAACGGGCGCUAAUACCGCAUACGUCCUGAGGGAGAAAGUGGGGGAUCUUCGGACCUCACGCUAUCAGAUGAGCCUAGGUCGGAUUAGCUAGUUGGUGGGGUAAAGGCCUACCAAGGCGACGAUCCGUAACUGGUCUGAGAGGAUGAUCAGUCACACUGGAACUGAGACACGGUCCAGACUCCUACGGGAGGCAGCAGUGGGGAAUAUUGGACAAUGGGCGAAAGCCUGAUCCAGCCAUGCCGCGUGUGUGAAGAAGGUCUUCGGAUUGUAAAGCACUUUAAGUUGGGAGGAAGGGCAGUAAGUUAAUACCUUGCUGUUUUGGCGUUACCAACAGAAUAAGCACCGGCUAACUUCGUG
rnacentral:rRNA from 1 species